rnacentral:rRNA from 1 species
CGCAAUGGGCGAAAGCCUGAUGGAGCGACGCCGUGUGUGUGACGAAGUCCUUCGGGACGUAAAACACUGUCAGUGGGGACGAUAUUGACGGUACCCACAGAGGAAGGCCCGGCUAACUACGUGCCAGCAGCCGCGGUAAUACGUAGGGGCCAAGCGUUGUCCGGAAUUAUUGGGCGUAAAGGGUAUGCAGGUGGCUCGUUAAGUCGAAGGUUAAAUCUACAAGCUCAACUUGUAGCCGCCUUUGAUACUGACUUGCUAGAGAGUGGUAGAGGAAAGCGGAACUUGCGGUGUAGCGGUGAAAUGCGUAGAUAUCGCAAGGAACACCAGUGGCGAAGGCGGCUUUCUGGACCAUUUCUGACCCUGAGAUACGAAAGCUA